GAAUUUCUUCGGGGUCAGGUGAAAAUCCUAACCGGCGGUAUAGUCCGCGAGCUUUCGAGCAUGAACUGGUGUGAUUCCAGUACCGACAGUAAAGUCUGGAUGAGAGAAGAAUUCA
rfam:Streptococcus agalactiae 2603V/R, complete genome.